rnacentral:tRNA from 1 species
GGCUUCAUGGUCGAGUGGUAAGGACGUUUACCUCUUACCCUGGAGUCCCGGGUUCGAUCCCCGGUCGAGAAGCUA